GAUGAACUUUGGCGGCGUGCCUAAUACAUGCAAGUCGAGCGAACGGACGAGAAGCUUGCUUCUCUGAUGUUAGCGGCGGACGGGUGAGUAACACGUGGAUAACCUACCUAUAAGACUGGGAUAACUUCGGGAAACCGGAGCUAAUACCGGAUAAUAUUUUGAACCGCAUGGUUCAAAAGUGAAAGACGGUCUUGCUGUCACUUAUAGAUGGAUCCGCGCUGCAUUAGCUAGUUGGUAAGGUAACGGCUUACCAAGGCAACGAUGCAUAGCCGACCUGAGAGGGUGAUCGGCCACACUGGAACUGAGACACGGUCCAGACUCCUACGGGAGGCAGCAGUAGGGAAUCUUCCGCAAUGGGCGAAAGCCUGACGGAGCAACGCCGCGUGAGUGAUGAAGGUCUUCGGAUCGUAAAACUCUGUUAUUAGGGAAGAACAUACGUGUAAGUAACUGUGCACAUCUUGACGGUACCUAAUCAGAAAGCCACGGCUAACUACGUGCCAGCAGCCGCGGUAAUACGUAGGUGGCAAGCGUUAUCCGGAAUUAUUGGGCGUAAAGCGCGCGUAGGCGGUUUUUUAAGUCUGAUGUGAAAGCCCACGGCUCAACCGUGGAGGGUCAUUGGAAACUGGAAAACUUGAGUGCAGAAGAGGAAAGUGGAAUUCCAUGUGUAGCGGUGAAAUGCGCAGAGAUAUGGAGGAACACCAGUGGCGAAGGCGACUUUCUGGUCUGUAACUGACGCUGAUGUGCGAAAGCGUGGGGAUCAAACAGGAUUAGAUACCCUGGUAGUCCACGCCGUAAACGAUGAGUGCUAAGUGUUAGGGGGUUUCCGCCCCUUAGUGCUGCAGCUAACGCAUUAAGCACUCCGCCUGGGGAGUACGACCGCAAGGUUGAAACUCAAAGGAAUUGACGGGGACCCGCACAAGCGGUGGAGCAUGUGGUUUAAUUCGAGGCAACGCGAAGAACCUUACCAAAUCUUGACAUCCUUUGACAACUCUAGAGAUAGAGCUUUCCCCUUCGGGGGACAAAGUGACAGGUGGUGCAUGGUUGUCGUCAGCUCGUGUCGUGAGAUGUUGGGUUAAGUCCCGCAACGAGCGCAACCCUUAAGCUUAGUUGCCAUCAUUAAGUUGGGCACUCUAAGUUGACUGCCGGUGACAAACCGGAGGAAGGUGGGGAUGACGUCAAAUCAUCAUGCCCCUUAUGAUUUGGGCUACACACGUGCUACAAUGGACAAUACAAAGGGCAGCGAAACCGUGAGGUCAAGCAAAUCCCAUAAAGUUGUUCUCAGUUCGGAUUGUAGUCUGCAACUCGACUACAUGAAGCUGGAAUCGCUAGUAAUCGUAGAUCAGCAUGCUACGGUGAAUACGUUCCCGGGUCU
rnacentral:rRNA from 1 species